rnacentral:rRNA from 1 species
GAUGAACGCUAGCUACAGGCUUAACACAUGCAAGUCGAGGGGAAACGGCAUUGAGUGCUUGCACUCUUUGGACGUCGACCGGCGCACGGGUGAGUAACGCGUAUCCAACCUUCCCAUUACUGUGGGAUAACCUGCCGAAAGGCAGACUAAUACCGCAUAGUCUUCGAUGACGGCAUCAGAUUUGAAGUAAAGAUUUAUCGGUAAUGGAUGGGGAUGCGUCUGAUUAGCUUGUUGGCGGGGUAACGGCCCACCAAGGCUACGAUCAGUAGGGGUUCUGAGAGGAAGGUCCCCCACAUUGGAACUGAGACACGGUCCAAACUCCUACGGGAGGCAGCAGUGAGGAAUAUUGGUCAAUGGACGGAAGUCUGAACCAGCCAAGUAGCGUGCAGGAUGACGGCCCUAUGGGUUGUAAACUGCUUUUGUAUGGGGAUAAAGUUAGGGAAGUGUCCCUAUUUGCAGGUACCAUACGAAUAAGGACCGGCUAAUUCCGUG